rnacentral:rRNA from 1 species
GUAGUCCACGCCGUAAACGAUGAGUGCUAAGUGUUGGGGGGUUUCCGCCCCUCAGUGCUGCAGCUAACGCAUUAAGCACUCCGCCUGGGGAGUACGGUCGCAAGACUGAAACUCAAAGGAAUUGACGGGGGGCCCGCACAAGCGGUGGAGCAUGUGGUUUAAUUCGAAGCAACGCGAAGAACCUUACCAGGUCUUGACAUCCCAUUGAUCGCUAUGGAGACAUGGUUUUCCCUUCGGGGACAAUGGUGACAGGUGGUGCAUGGUUGUCGUCAGCUCGUGUCGUGAGAUGUUGGGUUAAG